ACUUAAAUUGAAGAGUUUGAUCAUGGCUCAGAUUGAACGCUGGCGGCAGGCCUAACACAUGCAAGUCGAACGGUAACAGGAAGCAGCUUGCUGCUUUGCUGACGAGUGGCGGACGGGUGAGUAAUGUCUGGGAAACUGCCUGAUGGAGGGGGAUAACUACUGGAAACGGUGGCUAAUACCGCAUAACGUCGCAAGACCAAAGAGGGGGACCUUCGGGCCUCUUGCCAUCAGAUGUGCCCAGAUGGGAUUAGCUUGUUGGUGAGGUAACGGCUCACCAAGGCGACGAUCCCUAGCUGGUCUGAGAGGAUGACCAGCCACACUGGAACUGAGACACGGUCCAGACUCCUACGGGAGGCAGCAGUGGGGAAUAUUGCACAAUGGGCGCAAGCCUGAUGCAGCCAUGCCGCGUGUAUGAAGAAGGCCUUCGGGUUGUAAAGUACUUUCAGCGGGGAGGAAGGUGUUGCGGUUAAUAACCGCAGCAAUUGACGUUACCCGCAGAAGAAGCACCGGCUAACUCCGUGCCAGCAGCCGCGGUAAUACGGAGGGUGCAAGCGUUAAUCGGAAUUACUGGGCGUAAAGCGCACGCAGGCGGUCUGUCAAGUCGGAUGUGAAAUCCCCGGGCUCAACCUGGGAACUGCAUUCGAAACUGGCAGGCUUGAGUCUUGUAGAGGGGGGUAGAAUUCCAGGUGUAGCGGUGAAAUGCGUAGAGAUCUGGAGGAAUACCGGUGGCGAAGGCGGCCCCCUGGACAAAGACUGACGCUCAGGUGCGAAAGCGUGGGGAGCAAACAGGAUUAGAUACCCUGGUAGUCCACGCCGUAAACGAUGUCUACUUGGAGGUUGUGCCCUUGAGGCGUGGCUUCCGGAGCUAACGCGUUAAGUAGACCGCCUGGGGAGUACGGCCGCAAGGUUAAAACUCAAAUGAAUUGACGGGGGCCCGCACAAGCGGUGGAGCAUGUGGUUUAAUUCGAUGCAACGCGAAGAACCUUACCUGGUCUUGACAUCCACGGAAGGUCUCAGAGAUGAGACUGUGCCUUCGGGAACCGUGAGACAGGUGCUGCAUGGCUGUCGUCAGCUCGUGUUGUGAAAUGUUGGGUUAAGUCCCGCAACGAGCGCAACCCUUAUCCUUUGUUGCCAGCGGUUAGGCCGGGAACUCAAAGGAGACUGCCAGUGAUAAACUGGAGGAAGGUGGGGAUGACGUCAAGUCAUCAUGGCCCUUACGACCAGGGCUACACACGUGCUACAAUGGCGCAUACAAAGAGAAGCGACCUCGCGAGAGCAAGCGGACCUCAUAAAGUGCGUCGUAGUCCGGAUUGGAGUCUGCAACUCGACUCCAUGAAGUCGGAAUCGCUAGUAAUCGUGGAUCAGAAUGCCACGGUGAAUACGUUCCCGGGCCUUGUACACACCGCCCGUCACACCAUGGGAGUGGGUUGCAAAAGAAGUAGGUAGCUUAACCUUCGGGAGGGCGCUUACCACUUUGUGAUUCAUGACUGGGGUGAAGUCGUAACAAGGUAACCGUAGGGGAACCUGCGGUUGGAUCACCUCCUUACCUGAAAGAA
rnacentral:rRNA from 1 species